rnacentral:rRNA from 1 species
GCAGCCGCCGCGGUAAUACGUAGGUGGCAAGCGUUAUCCGGAAUUAUUGGGCGUAAAGCGCGCGUAGGCGGUUUCUUAAGUCUGAUGUGAAAGCCCACGGCUCAACCGUGGAGGGUCAUUGGAAACUGGGAAACUUGAGUGCAGAAGAGGAAAGUGGAAUUCCAUGUGUAGCGGUGAAAUGCGCAGAGAUAUGGAGGAACACCAGUGGCGAAGGCGACUUUCUGGUCUGUAACUGACGCUGAUGUGCGAAAGCGUGGGGAUCAAACAGGAUUAGAUACCCCAGUAGUCCCUGUCUCUUAUAC